rnacentral:rRNA from 1 species
CCCUUAGAUGUUCUGGGCUGCACGCGCGCUACACUGAUGCACUCAACGAGCUUACGACCUUGCCCGAUAGGGUUGGGUAAUCUUUUUAAAAUGCAUCGUGAUGGGGAUAGAUUAUUGCAAUUAUUAAUCUUCAACGAGGAAUUCCUAGUAAGCGCGAGUCAUCAGCUCGUGCUGAUUACGUCCCUGCCCUUUGUACACACCGCCCGUCGCUCCUACCGAUUGAGUGCUCAGGUGAAUAAUUCGGACUGCAGCAAUGUUUGGAUCCCGAACGUUGCAGCGGAAAGUUUAGUGAACCUUAUCACUUAGAGGAAGGAGAAGUCGUAACA